UUUAUGGAGAGUUUGAUCCUGGCUCAGGAUGAACGCUGGCGGCGUGCCUAAUACAUGCAAGUCGAGCGAACGGACGAGAAGCUUGCUUCUCUGAUGUUAGCGGCGGACGGGUGAGUAACACGUGGAUAACCUACCUAUAAGACUGGGAUAACUUCGGGAAACCGGAGCUAAUACCGGAUAAUAUUUUGAACCGCAUGGUUCAAAAGUGAAAGACGGUCUUGCUGUCACUUAUAGAUGGAUCCGCGCUGCAUUAGCUAGUUGGUAAGGUAACGGCUUACCAAGGCAACGAUGCAUAGCCGACCUGAGAGGGUGAUCGGCCACACUGGAACUGAGACACGGUCCAGACUCCUACGGGAGGCAGCAGUAGGGAAUCUUCCGCAAUGGGCGAAAGCCUGACGGAGCAACGCCGCGUGAGUGAUGAAGGUCUUCGGAUCGUAAAACUCUGUUAUUAGGGAAGAACAUAUGUGUAAGUAACUGUGCACAUCUUGACGGUACCUAAUCAGAAAGCCACGGCUAACUACGUGCCAGCAGCCGCGGUAAUACGUAGGUGGCAAGCGUUAUCCGGAAUUAUUGGGCGUAAAGCGCGCGUAGGCGGUUUUUUAAGUCUGAUGUGAAAGCCCACGGCUCAACC
rnacentral:rRNA from 1 species